GGACUUCAUAACUAGGUUAAUUCCCCGCCAGAGCACUACGAGCCACAGCUUAAAACUCAAAGGACUUGGCGGUGCCCUAUACCCACCUAGAGGAGCCUGUUCUAUAAUUGACAAUCCCCAAUAAACCUUGCCGCCCCUUGUAAACACAGCCUAUAUACCACCGUCACAAGCCCACCCCAUAAAGGACUAAUAGUAGGCUAAAUAAUUAAAAAUAAAAAUGUCAGGUCAAGGUGUAGCACAUGAGUCGGAGAGAAAUGGGCUACAUUUUCUUCAAAGAAAAUACGGAAUAUUUUAUGAAAUAAAAUAUGAAGGAGGAUUUAGCAGUAAAUAAAGAAUAGAGAGCUCUUUUAAAAUUGGCAAUAGGACGAGCACACACCGCCCGUCACCCUCUUUACACACAUAUAAUAUAAAUAAAAAAAUAAAUACUUCAGAAGAGGAAAGUCGUAACAUGGUAAGUCUACCGGAAGGUGGUCUUGGAA
rnacentral:rRNA from 1 species